rnacentral:rRNA from 1 species
GACGAACGCUGGCGGCGUGCCUAAUACAUGCAAGUAGAACGCUGAAGAGAGGAGCUUACUCUUCUUGGAUGAGUUGCGAACGGGUGAGUAACGCGUAGGUAACCUGCCUUGUAGCGGGGGAUAACUAUUGGAAACGAUAGCUAAUACCGCAUAACAAUGGAUGACACAUGUCAUUUAUUUGAAAGGGGCAAUUGCUCCACUACAAGAUGGACCUGCGUUGUAUUAGCUAGUAGGUGAGGUAAUGGCUCACCUAGGCGACGAUACAUAGCCGACCUGAGAGGGUGAUCGGCCACACUGGGACUGAGACACGGCCCAGGCUCCUACGGGAGGCAGCAGGAGGGAAUCUUCGGCAAUGGGGGCAACCCUGACCGAGCAACGCCGAGUGAGUGAAGAAGGUUUUCGGAUCGUAAAGCUCUGUUGUAAGUCAAGAAAGGGUGUGAGAGUGGAAAGUUCACACUGUGACGGUAGCUUACCAGAAAGGGACGGCUAACUACGUG